UCUCCCUCUUUCUAUCUCUAUCUGUCUCUCCCUCGGGGCCAUCUUGCAUAAUUUCUGGGUUCCUCCUUCCUAUUGUAUUUUGGAGUUCUUCUCAUACACAUUUUCUUUUUCAGUCCCAGCUCUACACUUCCAAGUCUACUUCUGCCAGGGUGCAGCAGAGGCGGUUUCAAAAGAAUUAUACACCACAACCAAGUGAUAUUUGUCCCAGGAAUACAAGGCUGAUUUAAUAUUAAAAAUCAAUCAAUGUGACCCAUCAUACCAACAUGUUAAAAGAGAAAAUCACAUGAUCUAAUAGAUGCAGAAAAAGCAUUUGACAAAAUUCAUCACCCAUUUAUGAUUUGAAGAAAAAGAAACCUUCAGUAAACUAGGAAUAGAGAGGGAACUUCCUCAACUGCGUGAAGAAUGCCUACAAAAUAUCAAUAGCUAACAUCUUAUGUAACAGUGGGAAACUCAAAGCUUUCUCACUAAGGAAGCAAGAAUCGAAGCAAGGAUGCCCUCUCUCUUCACUCCUUUUCAAUAUUGUACUGGAAGUUAAAGCUAAUCCAAUGAGAUGAUAAAAGGAAAUAAAAAGAAUACAAAUUAGAAAGGAAGAGAUAAAGCUACCUUUGUUUGCAGAUGAUGUGGUCUUCUAUGUAGAAAAUCAGAGUCAAUGAAAAACUUCUGGAACUAAUAAGCAGUUAUAGCAAGAUUCCAGGAUACAAGGUUAAUAUACAAAAGUCAAUUACUUUUCUGUAUGCCAAGUGGAAUUUGAAAUUGAAAACAUAAUACCAUUUCCAUUAACACCCCCCAAAAUGAAUUCCUUAAUUAUAAAUCUAACAAACUAUGUCCAAAUUUUUUAUGAGGAAAAGUUCAAAACUCUGAUGAAAGAAAUCAAAGAACUAAGUGAAUGGAGGCAUAUUAAAUGUUUAUGGAGAGAUAUUCGAUAUUGUCAAGAUGUCAGUUCUUCUGCAGCUUGAUCUAGUUUAAUGCAGCCCCAAUCAAAAUGUUAUCAAGUUAUUUUGUGGACAUUGGUAAACUAAUUCUGAAGUUUAUAUGCAGAGGCAAAAGAUCUAGAAUAGUGGGCACAGUAUUGAAGAAGAAAUACAAAGUCGGAGGACUGACAGACCUGAUACCAAGACUUACUAUCAAGCUACAAUAAGACUGUGGUAUUGAUGAAAGAAUUGCCAAAUAGAUCAAUGGAUCAGAAGAGAGAGUCCAGAUAAAUAUAGUGAAGUGAUCUUUGACAAAGGAGCAAAGGCCAUACAUUGAAGAAAAGAUAAUCUUCAAUAAAUGGUGCUAGAACAACUGAACAUCCACAUGCAAAACAAAUGAAUCUAUGCACAGACCUUCCACCUUUCACAAAACUAACUCAGAAUGGAUCAUAGAUCUAAAGGUAAAAUGCCAAACUAUAAAGCCUCUAGAAGACAACAUAGGAGAAAACCUAGAUGACCUUGGUUAUGGUGAUAACUUUUUAGAUAUACACUGAAGGCAUGAUCCACAAAAGAAACGUGUGUGUGUGUGUGUGUGUGUAUGUGUAGAGAGAGAGUCCUACUUUGUUGCCCAUGCUGGUCUCAAACUCCUGUGCUUAAGUGAUCCUCCUGCCUCCCAAAGUGGUGGGAAUACAGGUGUGAGCGACAGCAACUGGCUGACACAAAAGAAAUAAUUGGUAAGUUGAACUUUUUAAACAUUAAAUCAUAUGAAAUAUUCACACCAUGGACUAAUAUACAGUAACAAAUGGAAAACUACAACCAUAUGCAACAAUAUCCUACAAGGUUGUCAGAGGGACAUGGCAGAAUGCUCCCGUGGAAUGGGCCCAGGUCUGGAGGAAGGAAGGCCUUGAGGCCUGAUGAGCAAAGUGUGAUGAGAGGGAGCUCUGGGACAAAGUACAUAAAGCAUGGGAUUUACUUCAGUGCCGGCAGGCGUGGGUUCAAAUCCUGACUCUGCCACUUACCACUAACCUCUCUAAACUCCAUUUACUCAUCUCUAAAGAGGAUCAUUAUGGUGAUUGAGUGAAAUCAAAUAUGUUCAGAUGUAAAAAGUGCCUGGCACUCAGUACCUACUCAAUACAUGGAGUGAAUUUUAUUGUGUGGAGGGAACAAGGGCUUGAUAUACAAAUUCCAAAAGGCGAAGAAAUCCUUACCUAUUAUGGACAAGUAGCUGACCCCUCCUCUGAGUUCUUGCGGUGUCCUAGGCGUAGGUCUCUAAUGGACUAACAAAGGGUGUGGAAUCUAAAUAAUAGGUUUGUGCAUCUGUUGCUCCCACGGCCUACUGGACAGUGCAAUAGGGCCUGCACCUGGCACAUGGUAGCAAUUCAGCAUGUGGGCUGGAAGAAUGAACCUGUAUAGAAAGCAUUGGAGCUCCCUCUGGAGGCCGAAGAAAGAACUAUGACUGAACCAACCAUUAUUUUAGGGGGGCCUCACAAGCUUACUCAAGUCCUGUUGCCUGGCUGACUGUGUAGCCUCUUCUUUUGGUGGCUGGAAUUGUCACUGGAGUUAUAGAUUUAUACCAAACCCCGAUCUGUUUAUGCAGAGUUCAGUCCUGGACUGCACCGCCUGCCUCUUGCCAUCUGCCUGGUGGGAUCUGAGGGGGACCUGCUUCUCUGAAUCACCUCCUGAUAUGCCUCCCCACCCCAACUGCCCCCUGCCCAACUGGCCCCAGGUUAUAGCACCCUUGUAUACCCUUGAAAAAUCUGCUCCCUCCUCUCCUGCAACUAAUAACACCCUCCUUUAUCCCACCCACCCACAGGGACACAUUUCUAUCACAGAACUCUAGAUGCUUCAUUUUUUGUUUGAGAUGGAGUCUCACUGAGUUGCCCAGGCUGGAGUGCAGUGGUGCGAUCUUGGCUCACUGCAACCUCUGCCUCCUGGGUUCAAGUGAUUCUCCCACCUCAACCUCCCGAGUAACUGGGAUUAUACAGGUAUGCACCAUCACGCCUGGCUACUUUUUUGGUAGAGGCAGGGUUUCACCAUGUUGGCAACGCUGAUCUCGAACUCCUGACCUCAAGUGAUCCACCCACCUUGGCCUCCCAAAGUGCUGGGAUUACAGGCAUGAGCCAGUGCACCCAGAUAAAUGGCUUGUUAUAGUUAUUUGUUAGCACAACUGCCUGCCUCCUCCUGGAUAAGGUCCUUGAAGACAGAGGCUGUAGCUUCCCUUUCUCAGAUAAAUCUUCAAUAAACACGCAGGAGUACA